UGCAUUUUUUGGUAAGACGAUGUUAACAAAAGUUGUUCGUCUUAACGAGGGCUACAACUUUGCUUAAUAUCCUUUUAACAAAUUAUGCGUAUUUAAGAAGAUAGGUCCGCGCAUGCGCAGUAAGUAACUCCUUACGCUUGCAUUUUUUGGUAAGACGAUGUUAACAACAGUUGUUCCUCUUGAUGAGGGCUACAACUUUGCUUAAUAUCCUUUUAACAAAUUAUGCG
rnacentral:miRNA from 1 species